rnacentral:rRNA from 1 species
UUGGAGGGCAAGUCUGGUGCCAGCAGCCGCGGUAAUUCCAGCUCCAAUAGCGUAUAUUAAAGUUGUUGCAGUUAAAAAGCUCGUAGUUGAAUUUCGGGGUCAGUAGGCUGGUCGUGCCACAGGUAUGUACUGGUCUCACUGAUUCCUCCUUCCUGAUGAACCGUAAUGCCAUUAAUUUGGUGUUGCGGGGAAUCUGGACUGUUACUUUGAAAAAAUUAGAGUGUUUAAAGCAGGCUAACGCUUGAAUACAUUAGCAUGGAAUAAUGAAAUAGGACGUUCGAUCCUAUUUUGUUGGUUUCUAGGAUUGACGUAAUGAUUAAUAGGGAUAGUUGGGGGCAUUAGUAUUCAAUUGUCAGAGGUGAAAUUCUUGGAUUUAUUGAAGACUAACUACUGCGAAAGCAUUUGCCAAGGAUGUUUCCAUUAAUCAAGAACGAAAGUUAGGGGAUCGAAGACGAUCAGAUACCGUCGUAGUCUUAACCAUAAACUAUGCCGACUAGGGAUCGGAUGAUGUUAAUUUUUUAAUGACUCAUUCGGCGCCUUACGGGAAA